rnacentral:rRNA from 1 species
CCUACGGGUGGCAGCAGUGGGGAAUAUUGCACAAUGGGGGAAACCCUGAUGCAGCAACGCCGCGUGAGUGAAGAAGUAUUUCGGUAUGUAAAGCUCUAUCAGCAGGGAAGAAAAUGACGGUACCUGAUUAAGAAGCCCCGGCUAACUACGUGCCAGCAGCCGCGGUAAUACGUAGGAGGCAAGCGUUAUCCGGAUUUCCUGGGGGUAAAGGGUGGGUAGACGGCAGAACAAGUCUGGAGUGAAAUGCCAGGGCCUAACCCCGGAACUGCUUUGGAAACUGUGCAGCUAGAGUGUAGGAGAGGUAAGGGGAACUCCUAGUGUAGCGGUAAAAUGCGUAGAUAUUAGGAGGAACACCAGUGGCGAAGGCGGCUUACUGGACUGUAACUGACGUUGAGGCUCGAAAGCGUGGGGAGCAAACAGGAUUAGAUACCCUGGUAGUC